UCAAUGCAUUGAAAGUGACUAC
rnacentral:sRNA from 1 species